rnacentral:tRNA from 1 species
UCCCUGGCGGUCCAGUGGUUAAGACUCUGCACUUCCAAUGCAGGGAACGCAGGUUCAAAUCCCUGGUUGGGGAA